AUUGAACGCUGGCGGCAUGCUUUACACAUGCAAGUCGAACGGUAACAGGCCGCAAGGUGCUGACGAGUGGCGAACGGGUGAGUAAUGCAUCGGAACGUGCCCAGUCGUGGGGGAUAACGCAGCGAAAGCUGCGCUAAUACCGCAUACGAUCUAUGGAUGAAAGCGGGGGACCGUAAGGCCUCGCGCGAUUGGAGCGGCCGAUGUCAGAUUAGGUAGUUGGUGGGGUAAAGGCUCACCAAGCCAACGAUCUGUAGCUGGUCUCCGAGGACGACCAGCCACACUGAGACUGAGACACGGCCCAGACUCCGGCGGGGGGCAGCAGUGGGGAAUUUUGGACAAUGGGCGCAAGCCUGAUCCAGCAAUGCCGCGUGCAGGAAGAAGGCCUUCGGGUUGUAAACUGCUUUUGUACGGAACGAAACGGUCCUGGUUAAUACCUGGGGCUAAUGACGGUACCGUAAGAAUAAGCACCGGCUAACUACGUGCCAGCCGCCGCCGUAACAC
rnacentral:rRNA from 1 species